UCAAGAACAUGAGCACCACUGCAACGGGAGAGAGAAAGUGGUGGACGGUGGUUCCGUAGAUAUUGUCCGAAAGUGUUCCAGUCUCUUCUCUUCUGAUUCUCGUACCUACUCAGUUGGUUCGUCGCGGAGCCGCCAGAGGAAGACGAGGAGGAGGAGGUAGUGGUAGUGGUGGCUGCUGCGGCGGCGAUCAUAAGGUUUGUGUUGUGUGAGAUGUUUGAUGUGCUCAUAAAGCCGUGGAUAGGAUCCAUGAUAUCAAGAUCUGAUGUAUAAUUUAGGUUUUAUUAACUCUUUGAGGUUUUGGUUUUAGGUUAUGAUGAAUAUGAGAGGAACUUUAUGAGUCUUGAGUCUUGAACUUUAUGGGUCUUGAGUUGAUAAGGGAAGAUGGUGGAGAGGAAAAAGAAGGAGAGGAGGGGGUAUCGUAGUCAUUGUAGUAAAGAGUGGGCUGCUGAAUGUAGUCACUGAUAUAUAUAUUUUCUCAUUUAAUUUUUUGAUUGACUAAUAACAGUGAAAUAACUAAUAAUGCAAGCUUGUAUUUUUUGACAAAGAAAAUAAAAUAUCUCUUUAAUCAUUAUUGUUAUGUUAAACUGUUUGCGGACAAAGGUUAAAUGCAUAUUCAUCAAAUGCAGUAAAAAUAUUAAAUAGUACAGCUUAUUAAACAACUCAUUUUUGACAAAAAGAGUACGUAGUAUAACUUAAACUUCAUAUUAAAAAGUUAAAUGUUAAAUUUUUUUUUCUUUGUUUAUCGACAAAUAAAGAAAUUAACUCAUUUUUAAGUAUAUCCCAACAGUUUUCUCUUGUAAAUUAUUAACACAAAUUAUCAAAUAGAGGUAAGUCAAUCAUUUUUUUUCCUAAGCUACAUGCAUUCAAUAAAAACAUCAAAUAGGUAAACCACGAGUACUGAAAAUUCUUAACAUGAUUACCAUAAAGGAGUACAAGACAACUUUGAUCUAACCUAAUUACUUUUUUAGGUAAGAUACAUUGAUACUCCAUCUGAAGCGCGUUUCUAUUUUAGAAACUCUUGAAACACACAAUGAGAACAAGAUUUUAAACAUAUUUAUUUUUUAUGUUUCAAAAAAUCUUUAUUUUAAAAUAUUUGUUUCCACUGUAGAAAAUCAAAUGAAGCUGUAUUUUUUUUAAACGUAAUAAGCUAAUUUUUUAAAAGGUUGGAAUUUUGUUUAUUUAUUUAGCAACUUACAAGCUAAUUAAAUAACUAAUGUGAAGAUCUUUUUAUUUUUCAAUCAAUAAUUGCUUUAAGUUUAAGUCCCGGCCUACAAAAUUAUAACAAAAAUAUACGAGAAAAAGACUGGAGUCAUUCCAUAAAUAAGUUGUAUUGUUUUCCAAUAAAAAUAUCUUUUUAAUUUUACGAAAUGUUAAUAUCUUUUUUUUUGUUAUCUUUUUUUUUUAUAUCAAAUUAGUCUUUUUGAUCAAAUAUUAAUAUGAUCUUAAUGUUUAUUGUUUAAUUAUAUAAUUUUAAUAUUCUCAUACAUAUUAAUAUAUAUAUAUAUAUGCAUAUAUUUUUUUCUUAUUUUGAAAAUAUUGUUUAUGCAUUUUAGAAUGUUUAAUUUCUGUUUUCAUUCUAUCUAGUUUUUAGUUGUUAGAAUUUAGAAUGAUUAAUAAUAUUUUUAUAACUGAGGAGUAGAUCACGUGUCCAAAUAAACCCAUAUUAAUUUUUUUGAGGCGUGUGGUCUACUUAUAGAUUUGCGUACAUGAUUUGUAAAUGAGCCGAAACCAAAAACCUAUAUCUGUGUGAAUGUGCUAAAGAUAAUCGUGCAGUAAUUCCUUCCAACAAAAGGUUCGAACUCACAACUUGAAUGUAAGAAGGAGCAUGUCUUUAUCAUUGGACAAUGUUCCAGACAAAUUAAACAACUUUUAUUUUUGGAUUUAAAAAUUUUACCCAUGCACAAAUGGUAAACAUAAAUAAAACUAAGUGUUUGAAUUCCAAAAUAAUGAAUAAGAUUUACUUCAAGAUUUGGCACUAAAUAACAGACAAACUUAGUGACUAUGAAAGUGUGUAAUCCUUCAAAAUACAUAUUUUGUGCUUUAAUGGUAAACUUAACCUUUGUGCCAAAAGAAAAUAAAAGGUAGACUUAACCUCUUACUGUAAAAAAAGGGGAAGGACAUUCUUUCCGAAUAUCUACGGGGAAAAACCAAUAUGCAAGUAAUAGAAUUGGACAUUUUCAGUAAGAUCAAAUUGAUCUAAAUUCACAUAGAAAUUAUUUACCAUUCGACCAUCGCGUCACUAGAGAUAAUCACUCCGGACUCCUUGUUUUAUAUUCUAAACAUCAUGCAAAUUCCCAAAAUUUAAAUUGAUCACUAGAUCUACAUCAGUGUAGUAUUUAAUGAUCUAAUUCAGAAGAGGAAUUUAAGUACACAGUAAGAACCAUAUUUUGAUUUAUAAACUUUUUUAUAUAUCCUAUCGGUUGAUAUGGUCGGUUUCGACAUAACGUACUUAGUGCUACAAAAUAGAUUGGUUACCACACCGUGAAUACUAUCUAACUAAUGUUUGGAAAUAGACCAAUCAUCUGUUAUAUCUUAAUCCAAAUUCAAAUUGACUAAGCAUCAAUAAUUUAAUUUUCAGGGGAAUUGAAUCUAAUACCAAUAGAAUACACACAAAAUCCUAAAAGUUUACUACUAGACUAUCACCGCUAAUGAUGGUAACAUAAAAAUCUUGGAUUUCUCCUAUUUUUAUUACGACUAGGUGUGGAGAAAUGCAAGACUUUUGUGUCGUGGAUUAAUUAUGUGAAGAAACAUUGUUUAUCGACUCAUCAAAUUAUUUUUGUUAUUAAUACAAGUUUUAUUUUCCGUUGAUGAAUAUAUAUAUUUUGGUUAUCACCCAACGUAUUACGAAGCAGAGUUACAAAGAAUGACACAACAGUUAUCUUUGGAAUACUGAAACAAAAGCUAAUGAACUUUUACUCGCAUCAUUUUCAUCGUCAACAACUACUCUCAUUGAUUAUCAUUUCACUGUUUCAAAAAUUUGAGCAACAAACUUUGAUUCAGCCAUUUCCUUCGUAUUUCCAACCGGAUGUGAAUGAACCGACCUUACAUACAUGGGAUAGGACCGUAGGACUCAUGCCCCUAAUUUAGAUAUUAUCAUUUUUUUCAAUUUUAGUAAACUCUUUUUUCUUAUAUAAACUUGAGUAUUCAGAGUAAAUUGGAAUUGAACUAAUGGUAGCAACGUUAGAAAACUUUUUUUUUUCGAUUAUUAGCUUUGAACAUGCACAUGGAAUUGAACUAAUGGUAGCAAAAGUGGCAUCAAUUCCGGAGUGCUACUAGUUAUCAUUCUAAACAUCUUUUUGACACGUUAGUUUGUUUUUACGCAUAUUAAGCUCUUAGCUGUAGUAGCUAAUACUACAAAUACAGUAGUUUACAGUUAACAUGAGAAGAUGGAAUCGAAAUCUAGUGAUAGAUUAUCAACUUAGAGGAGAAUAGGGUAGGCAGGGCCAGGAUUGAAAAGGCCCUGGAUUGAAUAUAGUGACGAUAAUAUUUGGUAUUUGGUGCGAGUGGACAACACAUGCAAAGAAAAGUCGAGAUUACCCCUGAAAGAAGUUAGCGGAAAGGGGUAACUUGUGGCAGAGGUACAAAACUGGAUGAGGACAGAGAGGGAAAAAGAGGAGCAGUGGAGUGUGUUUGAAUGGUUACUUAAUAAAGAAGGAGAAAGGUUGUGUCAAUCAAUCAAUCUCACUGUUGAUUUCAUAUCAUAGUGGAGCAUGUGAUUUUUUUCACCUGGUUUUUCAUGUUUUGGCUCUUUUCUAUCUUAUACAAGUACAAAAUAGAUGUUUGGUUUAUUUAAUCUGUACAUAUGUGACCGCACGAUUGUUAGUGGAAAGUGGAAACAAAAGAGAAAUCUACCAUGUAGUCAUAUAUAUUUGUAAAAUAUAUCAGAUGUUUCUAUUGAGAAAAUGAAGAUUUAAACGACACAAAGAUGAAGUGAUAUACAUAUCUAAGAACAUAUAAAUAUAUAAUUAACUCAAAUCAUAACCAUAUUCCAUCUCUAAAUUAAGCUACAUAUCAAAGAACACACACACACACACACAUAUAUAUAUAUAUAUAAUUAACUCAAAUCAUAACCAUAUUCCAUCUCUAUAUUAAGCUACCUAAAAUAUUUCAAUAUCUGUUUUUGGUUUUAGUGUUAAAACUAGAUUUGAUCUGCGAUUUUAAAGUCAAUGAUAUUUUUUGUUAACAAAAAUUUGUUUAAAUAUUGAGCUAAUAUAUUUUUCAACCCGUAUAAUAUAUGAUAAAUAUAGAUUUAAUAAAUCAUUUACAAGUACAUACAUUUUAAAAGUGUUUUGCUCGAGUACUAUACGUGAAAAAUGAAAAGAUAAUUUUGUGAAAAUUUUAAUUUUUAGUUUCUUAAUUAAUUUUAUGAAAUUAUUUUUUAUGAAAUUGUGUUUAGUUAGUGCGAUAAUAUGUUCAAAUUUAUUAGAAAAAGUUAAUUAAGUUAAUUAUUUAUAAUUAAUUAGUUAUGAAUGGAUUUGGGUAAGUGUGUUUUCAGAAAAUAUAAUAAAUGCUGAAAGUUAUGAUUAGCUAGUUUUUUUCGGUGGUAAUAGAUGUAAUUAAUUAGUUAGUUUAAGGGUAAGUUUAUAUUUGUACUUCAGUUUUAAUAGAAUAUAUUUUUUUAAAGUAUUGUGCUUUAGUGGUAUACGUGAAAAAUGAAAAUAAUUUUGUGAAAAUUUUAUUUUUUAGCUUCCUAAUUAAUUUUAUGAAAUUGGUUUUUAUGAAAUUGUGAUUAGUUAAUGCUAUACUAUGUUCAAAUUUAUUAGAUAGAAACAUUAAUUAAGUUUAUUAUUUAUAAUUAAUUAGUUAUGAAAUGGAUUUAGGAAAGUAUGUGUUAAAUUUAAAAAAUACAAUAAAUGCUUAAAUUUAGAAUUAGUUAAGUUUUCAGUAGUAAUAGAUGUAACUAAAUAGUUAUUUUAAGGGUUAGUUUAUAUUUGUACUUAAGUUGUAAUAAAAUUCAUAUAUGUCUAUUUUAUUUAAAAUCGAGGUUAUCAGAAUAUACAUUUAAACUAACUUUAAAAAGAAAACUUUAAACUAACCUCCAAAAUAUUUGAAAAUGUUGAGUUUUUCAUCUAAGUAAAUGAUAGAACUUGGCUAUGAUCAAAAUUUAUAAUUUUUAUUUGAAUUUUUAGUAUCUUUUUUUAUAGAACAACUUAAAUAUGUAAUUUAGUUGUAGAGAGAAUCAGGUAUCUGUUAAUUUAUUGUGUUUUUCAGAAAAUGUUUGGUGUAAAACCAUUAGUUUAUUCGUAAAAAUAAUAUUAGUUUAAUGAAGUUAAAGAUCAUUGAAAAUUUUAAACAAAAGAAUUAGAAGCCAUAUAAUAUUUCGUCGGUCUGGUAUAUUCAAUGUUUUGAAAACCGGACCGGACAUCGACUCAAUAUUGUAACUGGUCAAUGGUCGGACCGGUCCAACAUGUUCAACCAAAUUUAAAUUUUAAUUUAAUUUUAAAUUAAUUAAACAUAUAGAAUCUAGAGGAGGAGGAGGUAGUGGUAGUGGUGGCUGCUGCGGCGGCGAUCAUAAGGUUUGUGUUGUGUGAGAUGUUUGAUGUGCUCAUAAAGCCGUGGAUAGGAUCCAUGAUAUCAAGAUCUGAUGUAUAAUUUAGGUUUUAUUAACUCUUUGAGGUUUUGGUUUUAGGUUAUGAUGAAUAUGAGAGGAACUUUAUGAGUCUUGAGUCUUGAACUUUAUGGGUCUUGAGUUGAUAAGGGAAGAUGGUGGAGAGGAAAAAGAAGGAGAGGAGGGGGUAUCGUAGUCAUUGUAGUAAAGAGU
rnacentral:lncRNA from 1 species